rnacentral:rRNA from 1 species
GACGAACCGUGCGAACGUUGUUCGGAAUCACUGGGCUUAAAGGGCGCGUAGGCGGGUCGGCAAGUCCGGGGUGAAAGCCCCCAGCUCAACUGGGGAAAGGCCUUGGAAACUGCCGGUCUCGAGGGAGGUAGGGGCCUGUGGAACUUCGGGUGGAGCGGUGAAAUGCGUUGAUAUCCGAAGGAACGCCGGUGGCGAAAGCGACGGGCUGGAUCUCUUCUGACGCUGAGGCGCGAAAGCUAGGGUAGCGAACGGG